GACGAACGCUGGCGGCGUGCCUAAUACAUGCAAGUAGAACGCAGUUGCGAACGGGUGAGUAACGCGUAUGUAACUGUCUCAUAGCGGGGGGUAACUAUAGGAAACGAUAGCUAAUACCGCAUACUGUGAGAUGGACCUGCGUUGUAUUAGCUAGUUGGUGAGGUAAAGGCUCACCAAGGCGACGAUACAUAGCCGACCUGAGAGGGUGGACGGCCAAAUGGGGACUUGGACACGGCCCAUAACUCUACGGGAGGCAGCAGUUGGGAAUUUUCGGCAAUUGACGGAAGUCUGACCGCGCAACUCCGCGGGAGUGAAGAAGGUUUUCGGGUUGUAAAGCUCUGUUGUUAGGGAAGCGGUACCUAACCAGAAAGCGCCGGCUAACUACGUGCCAGCCGCCGCGGUAAUAC
rnacentral:rRNA from 1 species